AAGUCGUAACAAGGUCUCCGUAGGUGAACCUGCGGAGGGAUCAUUACCAGAGAUGGCGGGCUUCGGCCCCCGUCCCCAACCCUUUGCCGACCAAAACCUUUUGCCUCGGGGGUGGAGUGGCCUCGGUCGCCGCCCCCGGAGGACCAGCCAACUCUGUCUCUAUACGUCGGAGUCUUAUGAUAAAUGAAUAAAAACUUUCAACAACGGAUCUCUUGGUUCUGGCAUCGAUGAAGAACGCAGCGAAAUGCGAUAAGUAAUGUGAAUUGCAGAAUUCAGUGAAUCAUCGAAUCUUUGAACGCACAUUGCGCCCUUUGGCAUUCCGAGGGGCAUGCCCGUUCGAGCGUCAUUAAACCCAAUCGGCCCCGCCUUAGUCGGUGCCGGUCUUGGGCGUCGGGGGACCCCGCGCCUCAAUUUCACCGGCUGGACGACCCGAAUCUCAGCGUUGUGGCUUCACAUCUCGCUGAUUGAGACCGGUCGGCCACGCCGUUAAAGCCUUUUCACAGGUUGACCUCGGAUCGGGUAGGAAUACCCGCUGAACUUAAGCAUAUCAAUAAGCGGAGGAAAAGAAACCAACAGGGAUUGCCCUAGUAACGGCGAGUGAAGCGGCAACAGCUCAAAUUUGAAAUCUGGCGCAAGCCCGAGUUGUAAUUUGUAGAGGAUGCUUCUGGGCAGCGGCCGGUCUAAGUUUCUUGGAACAGGACGUCAUAGAGGGUGAGAAUCCCGUAUGCGACCGGCUGGCACCCUCCACGUAGCUCCUUCGACGAGUCGAGUUGUUUGGGAAUGCAGCUCUAAAUGGGAGGUAAAUUUCUUCUAAAGCUAAAUACCGGCCAGAGACCGAUAGCGCACAAGUAGAGUGAUCGAAAGAUGAAAAGCACUUUGGAAAGAGAGUUAAAAAGCACGUGAAAUUGUUGAAAGGGAAGCGCUUGCAACCAGACUUGUUAACGGUGUUCCUCCGGUCUUCUGACCGGUCCACUCGCCGUCUGCAGGCCAGCAUCGUCUGGGGCCGCUGGAUAAAGACACGAGGAAUGUGGCUCCCCUCGGGGAGUGUUAUAGCCACGUGUGCAAUACGGCGUGUCCCGGGCGAGGUCCGCGCUUCGGCUAGGAUGCUGGCGUAAUGGUCGUAAGCGGCC
rnacentral:rRNA from 1 species